ACAGGGGGAUAACAGUUAGAAAUGACUGCUAAUACCGCAUAAGCGCACAGUGCUGCAUGGCACAGUGUGAAAAACUCCGGUGGUAUGAGAUGGACCCGCGUCUGAUUAGCUAGUUGGUGGGGUGACGGCCUACCAAGGCGACGAUCAGUAGCCGGCCUGAGAGGGUGAACGGCCACAUUGGGACUGAGACACGGCCCAAACUCCUACGGGAGGCAGCAGUGGGGAAUAUUGCACAAUGGGGGAAACCCUGAUGCAGCGACGCCGCGUGAGCGAAGAAGUAUUUCGGUAUGUAAAGCUCUAUCAGCAGGGAAGAAAAUGACGGUACCUGACUAAGAAGCACCGGCUAAAUACGUGCCAGCAGCCGCGGUAAUACGUAUGGUGCAAGCGUUAUCCGGAUUUACUGGGUGUAAAGGGAGCGUA
rnacentral:rRNA from 1 species